AACGAACGCUGGUGGCGCGCCUAAUACAUGCAAGUCGAGCGAGAAGACGUAGCAAUACGUUUGUAAAGCGGCGAACGGGUGAGGAAUACAUGGGUAACCUACCCUCGAGUGGGGAAUAACUAGCCGAAAGGUUAGCUAAUACCGCGUACGCUCCUUGGACUUCGGUUCAGGGAGGGAAGCGAUACCGUGGGUAUCGCGCUCUUGGAUGGGCUCAUGUCCUAUCAGCUUGUUGGUGAGGAACGGCUCACCAAGGCUUCGACGGGUAGCUGGUCUGAGAGGACGAUCAGCCACACUGGCACUGCGACACGGGCCAGACUCCUACGGGAGGCAGCAGUAAGGAAUAUUGCGCAAUGGGCGAAAGCCUGACGCAGCGACGCCGCGUGGGGGAUGAAGGUCUUCGGAUUGUAAACCCCUUUCGGGAGGGAAGAUGGAACGAGCAAUCGUUCGGACGGUACCUCCAGAAGCAGCCACGGCUAACUUCGUGCCAG
rnacentral:rRNA from 1 species